rnacentral:lncRNA from 1 species
CUGAGGAGUAGGUAACUCUUGCUUCUGAUUACCAGGACAUUAUGAUGGAAGAGAUUUGCAUGUCUUUUAAAGAGCUACUCGCAUCUCUGUGUGCUGUGUGAUGUCCUUCUGUGUGCCUCUUUCCUACACUGGAUUGCGGGAUACUUAGAAUGGAUAAUAGUAUUAUCAUAUCCUGUACUCCCAUCUUCAACCUGAGAAUUACUGAACUAUGAACACCAUCUCAAGUAUCUUCAAACCAUGGCAUCUUGUUUUUAAAUUGUUCUCCAGCCUGGUGUCUAUGCUCAGGCUGUGUGUGCUCAGAUUUUCAGGACCUACCUUAGCUGCCACCUCUCUCCCCCAUCCAUGAACAAUGGCAGCUGUGGAGGUGACAGUGGCAUUCUGUCCCUUUGACCAUAUUUCAUAUUAUCUGAGAAGACAACUGACUGAAGAAUGGCCAGUUAAUUCCCCAGGAAUCUAGACCCCAAGGGCAUCCAUGUUUUCUACCAUGACGGACACAGAGAAGUACAGAGAAGCAGCUAAUAGAAAUGAAGAAGAUGCUUAGAUAGAGUUAUGCUCCCUGGUUGUGUUUUCUUUAUAUUAAUUUCCUAUUAGAGUCUAAUAAAUUACUCUCAAACACAGCAACUUAAUAAAAUAAACAUUUAC